rnacentral:lncRNA from 1 species
UAGCAGCUUUUAAGAAAAUUAUUUAAAAAUACAACCUAUUGAUUGAAAAACUCAGAAACAAUACUCAUCUAUCCACAAAUAUUCUUGUUAUCCUAAUUUCUAAAUCACAAACCCUAAUCUAUAGUAUUUCUCUAAAAAAUGAAAACAUCCAAAAAUAGCAGUUUUUUAGAAAAUUAUUUAAAAAUACAACCUAUUGAUGAAAAACUCAGAACAAAUACUCAUCUAUACACAAAUAUUUUUGUUAUCCUAAUUUUUAAAUUACAAACCCUAAUCUACAUUAUUUCUAAAAAAAUGAAAACUUUCCAAAAAUAGCAGUUUUUAAGAUAUUUAAAAAUACAGCUUAUUGAUGAAAAACUUAGAAAAAAUACUCAUCUAUGCACAAAUAUUCUUGUUAUCCUAAUUUCUAAAUCACAAACCCUAAUCUACAGCAUUUCUCUAAAAAGUGAAAAGUUUCCAAAAUAGCAGUUUUUUUGAAAAUUAUUUUAAAUACUGUAGAACUGAUGAAAAAUUCUUUAAGUAUAACGAAUCUAUCCACAAAUAUUCUUGUUAUCCUAAUUAUUAAAUCACAAACCCUAAUCUACACUAUUUCUCUAAAAAAUGAAAACUUUUCAAAAAUAGCAACUUUUAAGAAAAUUAUUUAAAAAUACAGCUUAUUGAUGAAAAACAUAGAAAAAAUACUCAUCUAUGCACAAAUAUUCUUGUUAUCCUAAUCUCUAAAUCACAAACCCUAAUCUAUAGUAUUUCUCUAAAAAAUGAAAACUUUCCAAAUAUAGCAGUUUUUAAGAAAAUUAUUUAAAAAUACAACCUAUUGAUUGAAAAACUAAGAAACAAUACUCAUCUAUCGACAAAUAUUCUUGUUAUCCUAAUUUCUAAAUCACAAACCCUAAUUACAGUAUUUCUCUAAAAAAUAAUAUAGAAGCUUUUAAGAAAAUUAUUAAAAAAUACAACCUAUUGAUUAAAAAACUCAGAAAAAUACUCAUCCAUUCACAAAUAUUCUUGUUAUCCUAAUUUCUAAAUCACAAACCCUAAUCUAUAGUAUUUCUCUAAAAAAUGAAAACAUCCAAAAAUAGCAGUUUUUUAGAAAAUUAUUUAAAAAUACAACCUAUUGAUUGAAAAACUCAGAAACAAUACUCAUCUAUCCACAAAUAUUCUUGUUAUCCUAAUUUCUAAAUCACAAACCCUAAUCUAUAGUAUUUCUCUAAAAAAUGAAAACAUCCAAAAAUAGCAGUUUUUUAGAAAAUUAUUUAAAAAUACAACCUAUUGAUUGAAAAACUCAGAAACAAUACUCAUCUAUCCACAAAUAUUCUUGUUAUCCUAAUUUCUAAAUCACAAACCCUAAUCUAUAGUAUUUCUCUAAAAAAUGAAAACAUCCAAAAAUAGCAGUUUUUUAGAAAAUUAUUUAAAAAUACAACCUAUUGAUUGAAAAACUCAGAAACAAUACUCAUCUAUCCACAAAUAUUCUUGUUAUCCUAAUUUCUAAAUCACAAACCCUAAUCUAUAGUAUUUCUCUAAAAAAUGAAAACAUCCAAAAAUAGCAGUUUUUUAGAAAAUUAUUUAAAAAUACAACCUAUUGAUGAAAAACUCAGAACAAAUACUCAUCUAUACACAAAUAUUUUUGUUAUCCUAAUUUUUAAAUUACAAACCCUAAUCUACAUUAUUUCUAAAAAAAUGAAAACUUUCCAAAAAUAGCAGUUUUUAAGAUAUUUAAAAAUACAGCUUAUUGAUGAAAAACUUAGAAAAAAUACUCAUCUAUGCACAAAUAUUCUUGUUAUCCUAAUUUCUAAAUCACAAACCCUAUUCUACAAACCCUAAUCUACAGCAUUUCUCUAAAUCACAAACCCUAUUCUUGAUAUCAUAAAUUUUUAAACCACAAACCCUAAUCUACAGCAUUUCUCUAAAAAUGAAAACUUUUCAAAAAUAGCAACUUUUAAGAAAAUUAUUUAAAAAUACAGCUUAUUGAUGAAAAACUUAGAAAAAAUACUCAUCUAUGCACAAAUAUUCUUGUUAUCCUAAUUUCUAUGAAAACUUUUCAAAAAGAGCAGUUUUUUAGAAAAUUAUUUAAAAAUACAACCUAUUGAUGAAAAACUCAGAAAAAAUACUCAUCUAUCCACAAAUAUUCUUGUUAUCCCAAUUUCUAAAUCACAAACCUUAAUCUACAGUAUAUUUCCAAGGAAUGAAAACUUUUCAAAAAUAGCAACUUUUAAGAAAAUUAUUUUAAAAUACAGCUUAUUGAUGAAAAACUUAGAAUAAAUACUCAUCUAUGCACAAAUAUUCUUGUUAUCCUAAUUUCCAAAUCACAAACCCUAAUCUAGAGUAUUUUUCUAAAAAAUGAAAACUUUUCAAAGAUAGCAGCCUUUGAGAAAAUUAUUUAAAAAUACAACCUAUUGAUGAAAAACUAAGAAAAAAUACUCAUCUAUCCACAAAUAUUCUUGUUAUCAUAAUUUCUAAAUCACAAACCCUAAUCUACAGUAUUUCUAUAAAAAAAUGAAAUCUUUCCAAAUACAGCAGCUUUUAAGAAUACAACCUAUUGAUUGAAAAACUCAGAUAUUCUUGUUAUUUGACAAUACUCAUCUAUCCACAAAUAUUCUUGUUAUCCUAAUUUCCAAAUCACAAACCCUAAUCUAGAGUAUUUCUCUAAAAAAUGAAAACUUUUCAGAAAUAGCAGCUUUUAGGAAAAUUAUUUAAAAAUACAGCUUAUUGAUGAAAAACUUAGAAAAAAUACUCAUCUAUCCACAAAUAUUCUUGUUAUCCUAAUUUCCAAAUCACAAACCCUAAUCUAGAGUAUUUCUCUAAAAAAUGAAAACUUUUCAGAAAUAGCAGCUUUUAGGAAAAUUAUUUAAAAAUACAGCUUAUUGAUGAAAAACUUAGAAAAAAUACUCAUCUAUCCACAAAUAUUCUUGUUAUCCUAAUAUUUAAAUCACAAACUCUAAUCUACAGUAUUUCUCUAAAAAUGAAAACAUUUCAAAAAUAGCAAUUUUUAAGAAAAUUAUUUAAAAAUACAACAUAUUGAUGAAAAACUCAGAAAAAAUACUCAUCUAUCCACAAAUAUUCUUGUUAUCCUAAUUUUUAAAUCACAAACCCUAAUCUAGAGUAUUUCUCUAAAAAAUGAAAACUUUUCAAAAAUAGCAGCUUUUGAGAAAUUAUUUAAAAGUACAACCAAUUGAUGAAAAACUCAGAAAAAAUACUCAUCUAUCCACAAAUAUUCUUGUUAUCCUAAUUUCUAAAUCACAAACCCUAAUCUAUAGUAUUUCUCUAAAAAAUGAAAACUUUCCAAAAAUAGCAGUUUUUUAGAAAAUUAUUUUAAAUACUGUAGAACUGAUGAAAAAUUCUUAAAGUAUACUAAUCUAUCCACAAAUAUUCUUGUUAUCCUAAUUUCUAAAUCACAAACCCUAAUCUAUAGUAUUUCUCUAAAAAAUGAAAACUUUCCAAAAAUAGCAGUUUUUUAGAAAAUUAUUUUAAAUACUGUAGAACUGAUGAAAAAUUCUUAAAGUAUACUAAUCUAUCCACAAAUAUUCUUGUUAUCCUAAUUUCUAAAUCACAAACCCUAAUCUAUAGUAUUUCUCUAAAAAAUGAAAACUUUCCAAAAAUAGCAGUUUUUUAGAAAAUUAUUUUAAAUACUGUAGAACUGAUGAAAAAUUCUUAAAGUAUACUAAUCUAUCCACAAAUAUUCUUGUUAUCCUAAUUUCUAAAUCACAAACCCUAAUCUAUAGUAUUUCUCUAAAAAAUGAAAACUUUCCAAAAAUAGCAGUUUUUUAGAAAAUUAUUUUAAAUACUGUAGAACUGAUGAAAAAUUCUUAAAGUAUACUAAUCUAUCCACAAAUAUUCUUGUUAUCCUAAUUUCUAAAUCACAAACCCUAAUCUAUAGUAUUUCUCUAAAAAAUGAAAACUUUCCAAAAAUAGCAGUUUUUUAGAAAAUUAUUUUAAAUACUGUAGAACUGAUGAAAAAUUCUUAAAGUAUACUAAUCUAUCCACAAAUAUUCUUGUUAUCCUAAUUUCUAAAUCACAAACCCUAAUCUAUAGUAUUUCUCUAAAAAAUGAAAACUUUCCAAAAAUAGCAGUUUUUUAGAAAAUUAUUUUAAAUACUGUAGAACUGAUGAAAAAUUCUUAAAGUAUACUAAUCUAUCCACAAAUAUUCUUGUUAUCCUAAUUUCUAAAUCACAAACCCUAAUCUAUAGUAUUUCUCUAAAAAAUGAAAACUUUCCAAAAAUAGCAGUUUUUUAGAAAAUUAUUUUAAAUACUGUAGAACUGAUGAAAAAUUCUUAAAGUAUACUAAUCUAUCCACAAAUAUUCUUGUUAUCCUAAUUUCUAAAUCACAAACCCUAAUCUAUAGUAUUUCUCUAAAAAAUGAAAACUUUCCAAAAAUAGCAGUUUUUUAGAAAAUUAUUUUAAAUACUGUAGAACUGAUGAAAAAUUCUUAAAGUAUACUAAUCUAUCCACAAAUAUUCUUGUUAUCCUAAUUUCUAAAUCACAAACCCUAAUCUAUAGUAUUUCUCUAAAAAAUGAAAACUUUCCAAAAAUAGCAGUUUUUUAGAAAAUUAUUUUAAAUACUGUAGAACUGAUGAAAAAUUCUUAAAGUAUACUAAUCUAUCCACAAAUAUUCUUGUUAUCCUAAUUUCUAAAUCACAAACCCUAAUCUAUAGUAUUUCUCUAAAAAAUGAAAACUUUCCAAAAAUAGCAGUUUUUUAGAAAAUUAUUUUAAAUACUGUAGAACUGAUGAAAAAUUCUUAAAGUAUACUAAUCUAUCCACAAAUAUUCUUGUUAUCCUAAUUUCUAAAUCACAAACCCUAAUCUAUAGUAUUUCUCUAAAAAAUGAAAACUUUCCAAAAAUAGCAGUUUUUUAGAAAAUUAUUUUAAAUACUGUAGAACUGAUGAAAAAUUCUUAAAGUAUACUAAUCUAUCCACAAAUAUUCUUGUUAUCCUAAUUUCUAAAUCACAAACCCUAAUCUAUAGUAUUUCUCUAAAAAAUGAAAACUUUCCAAAAAUAGCAGUGUUUUAGAAAAUUAUUUAAAAAUACAACCUAUUGAUGAAAAACUCAGAAAAAAUACUCAUCUAUCCACAAAUAUUCUUGUUAUCCUAAUUUCUAAAUCACAAACCCUAAUCUACAGUAUUUUUCUAAAGAAUGAAACUUUUCAAAAAUAGCAACUUUUAAGAAAAUUAUUUAAAAAUACAACCUAUUGAUUGAAAAACUCAGAUAUUCUUGUUAUUUAAUAACAUUCAUCUAUGCACAAAUAUUUUUGGUUAUCCUAAUUUCUAAAUCAAAAACCCUAAUCUACAGUAUUUCUCUAAAAAAUGAAAACUUUCCAAAUAUAGCAGCUUUUAAGAAAAUUAUUUAAAAAUACAACCUAUUGAUGAAAAACUCAGAAAAAAUACUCAUCUAUCCACAAAUAUUCUUGCUAGUUUCAAAAUCACAAAACCUAAUCUACAAUAUUUCUCAAGAAAAUGAAAACUUUCCAAAAAUAGCAGUUUUUAAGAAAAUUAUUUAUAAAUACAACAUAUUCAUGAAAAAUUCUUAAAGAAUACUCAUAUAUCCAAAAAUAUUCUUGUUAUACUAGUUUCAAAAUCACAAAACCUAAUCUACAAUAUUUUUCAAGAAAAUGAAAACUUUCCAAAAAUAGCAGUUUUUAAGAAAAUUAUUUAUAAAUACAACAUAUUCAUGAAAAAUUCUUAAAGAAUACUCAUAUAUCCAAAAAUAUUCUUGUUAUACUAGUUUCAAAAUCACAAAACCUAAUCUACAAUAUUUUUCAAGAAAAUGAAAACUUUCCAAAAAUAGCAGUUUUUAAGAAAAUUAUUUAUAAAUACAACAUAUUCAUGAAAAAUUCUUAAAGAAUACUCAUAUAUCCAAAAAUAUUCUUGUUAUACUAGUUUCAAAAUCACAAAACCUAAUCUACAAUAUUUUUCAAGAAAAUGAAAACUUUCCAAAAAUAGCAGUUUUUAAGAAAAUUAUUUAAAAAUACAACCUAUUGAUGAAAAAAUCAGAAAGAAUACUCAUAUAUCCAAAAAUAUUCUUGUUAUCCUUAUUUCUAAAUCACAAACCCUAAUCUACAGUAUUUCUCUAAAAAAUGAAAACUUUCCAAAUAUAGCAGCUUUUAAGAAAAUUAUUUAAAAAUACAACCUAUUGAUGAAAAACUCACAAAAAAUACUCAUCUAUCCACAAAUAUUCUUGUUAUCCUAAUUUCUAAAUCACAAACCCUAAUUACAGUAUUUCUCUAAAAAAAUAAUAUAGCAGCUUUUAAGAAAAUUAUUUCAAUAUACAACCUAUUGAUUGAAAAAGUCAGAAAAAUACUCAUUUAUCCACAAAUUUUCUUGUUAUCCUAAUUUCUAAAUCACAAACCGUAAUCUACAGUAUUUUUCUAAAAAAUGUAAACUUUCCAAAAAUAGCAGUUUUUAAGAAAAUUAUUUAAAAAUGCAGCUUAUUGAUGAAAAACUUUAAAAAAAAUACUCAUCUAUGCACAAAUAUUCUUGUUAUCCUAAUUUCUAAAUCAAAAACACUAAUCUACAGUAUUUCUCUAAAAAAUGAAAACUUUCCAAAAAUAGCAAAUUUUUAGAAAAUUAUUUAAAAUACUGUAGAAUUGAUGAAAAAUUCUUUAAGUAUACUAAUCUAUCCAAAAAUAUUCUUGUUAUCCUAAUUUCCAAAUCACAAACCCUAAUCUAGAGUAUUUCUCUAAAAAAUGAAAACUUUUCAAAAAUAGCAGCUUUUAUAAUAAUUAUUUAAAAAUACAAACUACUGAUGAAAAACUCAGAAAAAAAUACUCAUCUAUCCACAAAUAUUCUUGUUAUCCUAAUGUUUAAAUCACAAACCCUAAUCUACAGUAUUUCUCUAAAAAAAUGAAAAAUUUCAAAAAAUAGAA